rnacentral:ncRNA from 1 species
UCAAGAGUUCCAGCCAUCGGCCCUGGCCGGCUGGACAGCAACCCUCUCGUCGUAGCGGGGUGCUCCAGGUGAAGAUUCGGCCUUGGCGGAAACCCUCCGCAGGGCAAGUACGG